GCCAAACUUAGCGUGAAACAAGAGAGAGAGAGAACUAGAAAAAACGAAAAAAAAAAUAGAGGGUGAGUUACGUACGUCUCUGCCAAGAGAACCCAGCUUUUUUCCACGUCUAUAUGCCCAGAAUAGUGGAACAACUCCAAAACAGAAGCAUUCUUCCUCUGCUGCACCUGCAUGCAUUGCAGCUUGGGUUAUGAUUGAAUAUGAUAUUGAGCUGUGACAUCCCAAACCUGGUACCAAGGGGUAAGCCACCAACCAUUUUUCACAACAA